rnacentral:lncRNA from 10 species
CACAAUUGUGCGUUUUCUCUCUCUCCUUUCAAAAAAGACUUACUGAGCACCUAACUGUAUGCCAGGCCGUUAACAGGCACUGGGGAGGCAGCAGUGAACAAAACGUCUGAAAGCGCUGCUCUUAGGGAGCUUGCGUUCUGGUGGAGGAGCAGACCGCAAGAGAAAUGAAGACAGAUGCAGAACCUGAGACAGCAACGUUGAAAGCAUGCCCAAGAUUACAAGGCAAAGCCAGAAUUCAAAGCCAGGCCAUCUGAUUCAAGUCUUCACCUCAGCGUGAGUCCUCCUCUUUCCCAGCCCUCAGCUGGGUCUUCAUUCACAAAUGAGGGGCAGGGGAACCUCAUGUGCCAGUGGACAUGAUACCCUGAGGAGGACAUGGUGCCACUUCUGUAGCAAUCAGGCUAAGAAUCUAUUACUUGAGUCUACUGAGGAAACAUCAAAGAAAGCCCAAAGGAGGAGGCAGGGACUGCAUUCUUCAAAACAUCAAUGUAAUAAAAGACAAAGAAAGGCUGAGGAACUAUUUCAGAUUCAAGGAAACUAAAGAGAUUUGACAACUAAAUACAACAUGUGACCCCAGACCAACCCUUGUACUGGAGGGGGAAAUAUGCCAUAAAUGACAUUAUUUAGUCAAUUUGGAUACGGACAGUAGAUUUGGGGGAAAAAACUGUAUCAAUGUUCAAUUUGCUGAAGUUCACAACUGUACUGUGGUCAUGUAAGGGAACCUUACCUUAGGAAAUACACACUGACAUAGUUAGGGAUAAUAUAUGCAUGUCUUUGAUUGAUGGAGACAGGGUGUCAUUGUUGCCCGGCUGGAGUGCCGUGGUGCAAUCUUAAUUCAAACUCCUGGGCUCAGCAAUUUUCCCACCUCAGCCUCCCCAGUAGCAUGCAAUAUGAUAUAUGCAACUUACUCUUGGAUGGUUUUGAGAAAAUGUGGGUAUAUGUGUGUAUAGGUAUAUAUGCACAUGUGAAUGUGUACAUGUGUGUACAUGUAUACAUGUACAUGAAUGCAUGCAUAUGUAUAUAUGAACAUGCAUGUAUGCACAUAUAAUGUAUAUGUACUUAUAAUGUGGAGGGGGCAAGGAGGAAGCAUCAACAAUAAAGCAGUGAGGCAGAAUGGGUGUCUACUAUUCUUACACCUUUUCUUACAACAAUUUCAAAAAUUAUUUCCAGGUAAAAAAUGAAUUUUAAUUUUGUUAAAUCAAUUAACCAUGUUGAUUUUUAUUUAUUAGU